CAGGAAGCCUUUAGUGCCUUAUUGGUAAGAAAGCACAACCUCAGGUUCACAGAUCCCUUGUGAGGUUGAUGGGGCAGUACCAUGAGCCUUGUUUUGCAGACUUGGAAAUGGGAAACCCAAGAGAGUUUGAGAAGCCCUACCUGCCACAGGUCCUCUGUCUUCCCCACAAGACUGCAAGCAUCAAGAGGGCAGAUAUUGCCGUGGAAAUGUCAAUUCCCCAAGCCAAGAAGACCCUGUUUCCCAGAAGCUGCUUCUACAGACUCUAG
rnacentral:lncRNA from 1 species